rnacentral:siRNA from 1 species
UUUGUUUUGAUUGAUUAAAAACUA